UCCCUGGUGGUCCAGGGGUUAGGACUCCGUGCUUUCACUACCGUGGGCCCAGGUUCGAUCCCUGGUCGGGGAA
rnacentral:tRNA from 1 species